AAGAUUCUUGAAGUCGACAGCGCUGACAAAACGGUUCGCCCCUGCUUUUCUCCUUUGCCCCGUCUUAUCUUGUGAACAUGUGGUUCUCUCGCCCCACCGUCAUAUCCUUUCCAUGUUAAAGAUAGCGACUUCCUUCUUUCAGGCGCGACCAGCCUUUCUCUGAGGACAUUUGCGAGAUUUUCUGUGGCCAGUGCCACAAGAGAAUGUAUUGGUGAUUUUCGUUGUUUUGCCAUCAGUGAGCUAGCAUCUCACAUGCUGCAGGAAUAAACAGAAGGAUCAGAAACGGAGAGGGCGAACGUUCACUUGCUUCUCCUUCACACACUGUCACUUGUUCUUCCUCGACAGUUGUUGUUCCUCUACAUUUCUGGAUUUGUGUGCCGAACACUCUGCAUCGUAUUCAAGGACUCCUCAUCCGUGGGACUCUGUCUCUGGGAUAGCGAUGUAUCAGCAUUUGCAGGGGCAGAAGCGAAGGGGGGACACCGGACAAGCGCCGCUGAUCUCGCAGCGAAUUCCGCACUCUUUCGCGAGUCACGUUCCCGUCCGCCAAGCACUUCUUGUCCACACCUGCCAGUCCUGCGGUGGAAUCUGUCAUUCAUCAGUGGUGUAUAAUUCCUUCGUCUGAAAGUAAGGAAACAAGGCAUCAAAGACUUUUUAUCAAAAAGAUUGUACAGAGCAGGAUCACGUGCCGAUUUGCCUGCGACGAUCGGUGUCCUUUCUCCGCCGUUGCCGAUUGCCUACGUGCAGGCAGACGGCAAUUCUGUGCAGUCGUUCUCAAGAAAAGCUUCUCUAUUGGGGCAGAGAUGCUGCCAUGACUCCCCUGCCCCUGGGAGAAGCAAAUCGACGCCUGUGUCUCUUUGUCGAAUCGAACGGGCCGUCUCUGUGGACCCGACAUCUUUCCGUUAGACUCAGGAGAAAGACAUAUCAUGAGAAAGUGAGGAAAAAUUCCACGGAGUCAGUGUGUAUCCCCUCUUUCAGUGUUGUGCUUUUCCUCAUCAUCCCAAAUUGCACACGAUGGAACUAAAGAAGGGUCAACAGCUGUCUGUUUAGUGCGGCAGAUUUCUUCCAAAACGGGUAAGGAGGCGAACUCGAGAAGAGAUUCAGGUAACAAAAUCGGGGAUCCUCGCCGUACAUGAGAAGGAUUUUUUUGUGCCACAUGGUCUGUCUAUAGAACUACUGCAGAGGGUUUUUCGAAACGGCUGAGAUAUGGAAAACCUGUUUCCUGUGCUGCUCCCAAAUCAGUGUUGCUGGACCUUCUGAGUUCUUGUCUAAUUUACGUUUCACUAAAAC
rnacentral:lncRNA from 1 species